rnacentral:rRNA from 1 species
UACGUAGGGUGCAAGCGUUGUCCGGAAUUAUUGGGCGUAAAGAGCUCGUAGGCGGUCUGUCGCGUCGGCUGUGAAAACCCGAGGCUCAACCUCGGGCCUGCAGUCGAUACGGGCAGACUAGAGUGCGGUAGGGGAGACUGGAAUUCCUGGUGUAGCGGUGAAAUGCGCAGAUAUCAGGAGGAACACCGGUGGCGAAGGCGGGUCUCUGGGCCGUAACUGACGCUGGAGGAGCGAAAGCGUGGGGAGCGAACAGG